UACGUAGGGUGCAAGCGUUGUCCGGAAUUAUUGGGCGUAAAGAGCUCGUAGGCGGUCUGUCGCGUCGGCUGUGAAAACCCGGGGCUCAACCCCGGGCCUGCAGUCGAUACGAGCAAACUAGAGUGUUGCAGGGGAGACUGGAAUUCCUGGUGUAGCGGUGAAAUGCGCAGAUAUCAGGAGGAACACCGGUGGCGAAGGCGGGUCUCUGGGCAACAACUGACGCUGGAGGAGCGAAAGCCGUGGGGAGCGAACAGG
rnacentral:rRNA from 1 species